rnacentral:rRNA from 1 species
UACGAAGGGGGGCUAGCGUUGCUCGGAAUCACUGGGCGUAAAGGGCGCGUAGGCGGAUCUUUAAGUCGGGGGUGAAAGCCCAGGGCUCAACCCUGGAAUUGCCUUCGAUACUGAAGAUCUCGAGACCGGAAGAGGUAAGUGGAACUGCGAGUGUAGAGGUGAAAUUCGUAGAUAUUCGCAAGAACACCAGUGGCGAAGGCGGCUCACUGGCCCGAUACUGACGCUGAGGCACGAAAGCGUGGGGAGCAAACAGG